CUUUAUGUAAUUCUUAAAUUGUUCAUAAAACUACAUGCUUUCUUGUAUGUUUGCAUCAUCCAUAGAGAUAUAGGCUGGUGGUGUGCAAGAAUAGGUCUAAUAUAUAUCGAGAGAGUAUAUUGGAUAGAAUUAGAAACAUUGAAUUGGCAAAUUUUCAUCGAAUCAUUAAUUUUAUGAAAUUAGGGUUUUUAUAACUUCAAUUGGGGAUUCG
rnacentral:lncRNA from 1 species